UUAACCAACCCUUUACUGAAUUCUUACAAAAAUUGUCUUUUACUCGGAUAAUGUUGUAGGUUUGGCAUAGUGAUACGAAUUGCAAUUGUCUUUUUUAUUUUCGCUUUAUACCAUGAAAGUUUGAAUUGUGUUCGAGUGUUUAUCCUUUUUUUUUUUUAUAUUUCUUUUUGGUGUUAAUAGUUAUCGGGAAGUUUCACGCUAGAUAUAUAUCUUAGUACGUUGGAAUGUUGUUACGUCAAUUGACUUGCCUUUGUUCAUCUUGCUGGUUAUCAUAUCCGGCUAAAAAGAAGGUAAUUCUGCAGAAGGAGAUUGGAAUUGCGAAUUGGAAGUUCAUACCAUCUUCUGUAGUGAAUUUCGGGUGUUUUCUGUUUUGUUGGUAAUAACUUUUGGAGGCUGAAGAAGCUUAAGAACCGCCAGAAGAAGAAUUAGCAUGAUCGGUACCAGAUGGACACAUGUGUCCGAAGCAGAGUCCUGACCAAUCCCAAGGGUACACAGGCUCUUGGCAAGAAGUUUCUUGCAAAUGCGCCACGGCUCCUAUAAAUUAUUUGCACCCAAGGAUUCAAAUGUUAGACUUUUGGAGAGAGGAUACGCCAAGACCAAAGCUCUUACCACUUGAUCCAACCCCUAGCUAAUUCUGCAUGCGUGUGACUUAGGCCGGCUCCCUCCCCACAGAAGAAUAAUGAAUGAAGAAACUCCUAAGGAGAUCCAAGCAGUUCAUUGAAGUAUGACCACCCCACCCCAGGACAAUGAUGGCAUACCCAGGUUAAUGAGAGAUGAGUCUAGUUCUGUAGAUGCCUCCAUUGGUAAUAGUCAUGACUAUAUAUAAAUGCCAUUUAUUUUGUUUUUCCUUUAUGUGUUCUUCCGCUUUUCCAGGCAUUGACAUGUAACAAUUAUAUUUGAACUGUCAUUUGAAUAGAGCAUCAUAUGGUCUUAAGUCUUUCCUUCCUUGAAAGUCUAAUUAGAUCACUUGCUCAGAUUAUAUGGAUGGAGAAGCAUAUUGAUUGGUGACAUAAUGCUUAUGUCAUUUUCAGUGACUGUGUUUGACAUUAAAUUUCUGCAAUUAAUUACCAUUUCAAUUAUUCUUUGGUGAGAUGCUGACAAGUUCCUUUUGUUUCUCUUUUCCUGAUUCCUGAGGCCAUAUUCUUCUCUUCUCAUCUUCUUUCCCUGCUUUUGGAUUCGUGAGAUCUCAUCUAAUGGGUCCCUUAAAGAAUAAUAAUUGAUGAGGCAACUUUGUUUAAAUGACUUUGGAUUCACCGGACCUUCUCCUACUGACCUAAAAAAUACCAGGGGCCAUUUGGCAUCAUCCCAGAAUCACCUUUACCUGUUAUGGAAUAUAUUAAAGUGAGAAAGUAGCUUCAAGUACAGCAGCUGGUUAAAGAGAAAGACCAACUGAAUGUUUGGUGCUGAUAUGGCAACACUUGAAGGAUCAAUCAUUGGAUUUUGAUUCCAGUGAUCAAACUCUUGAACGCAACCCAAGAAAUCUGAGGAUCGAUCUGAUGCAAUUGCCUUUUUUACGAUUUGUUGUUGGCCAUUUGUGGCCUCCCUUUUUCUUUUCUUCUUUUCUUUUCUUUUCUACCUGAAAAUUUCUUUUCUUCAUUUCAGCUUGGAUAUGGAUUACAGAAUUAAAGCGAACACUCCCUUUGGAAUAUAUUUCUUUAUGGGACUUUUA